CGAAGAGACAAGCUUUGGCUAGCUAGGGAAACGAAGCCAUGCAGCUUACACAAACACUCUUGCAUUUUGAGCACGAUAUCAUGUGAAGGCUUGUUAUCAUCCUUAAUGUCUCUUGUGUAAUACUGCUCGAAGAUCUUCCGUUCGAUGGAAAGCUGAUGAACUUGAUUAUCCUUUGCGAUGAAGGUUUAUGAUGAAAAACAGAUAAAUAAAGAGCUUUAAUUUGAUCUACGAACUAAACUGGAAUACCCAAGUAUCAUUAAAUCUACCCGAUACCUAGAAAUCUGUACAAAAAUCGAAAUACAAUUAAAACUACAUUAAGCAGCCGUCACCUUCAGCUUGGCAAGUCCUGGACAUCGAUUCGAUCGCGGUUCCCCGGCCAGGAGAGAAAGCGGAUCAACGCGGGUCAGAGUAAUAAUUCGUGCGGAGAACAUCGGAAACGGUCGGAACGUCUGAAUCGCAUAUCCGGCCGAAAUGGCCGGAUACGAAUUGAGUGUCAGCUCUGGGAAUCCGGCCGGUCGAUCGGUCGAUUAUACACGCCGUAAUAGACCGUCACGCAACUAUGAGAAUCCGUUGUGUACUGGCUGGCUUCGAGCUGCCUCGAGAUGUGUCGAACCAGAAGCUUCCACGCCACGCGCCACGCUUCAGGAUUUGCGAGUGGACACGUGUACG